AACCUGGUUGAUCCUGCCAGUAGUGUAUGCUUAUCCCAAAGACUAAGCCAUGCAUGUGUAAGAAUAGGAGACGUGAUCUCAUCGAAUCUGCGAACGGCUCCGCAAAACAGUUGUAAGCCAAGGCUAGUUUUGCCCCUUUCUGCAGAGGAUGCAUUCCGCUUUACAGCGGGUCUUGAUCUUCCUCGCUAUUGUAGAGCGGGGCAAAUACGGAUAUUCUCGGUAAUUCUGAGACUAAUACGUGAAUUAAUAGAACCUCGCUCCUAGCCUUCCCGUAAGGGAUAGCGAAGGCGAGGGGUGUGUGGAUAUACCAAAGGUCCCUACGGAUCCGGAGAGAACGCACGCUCUGACUUAGCGUACCUUCGCCUUUAAACAGCGUAGGGGGAGGCUUACGUCGACGCAUCCGGGCGCUUCAGUGGGCUUGCUCGGUCUUUUCUAAGGCUGAGCUCCGCUUUCUGUCGCUGUUCAGGCUUGCUCUCGGUGUAUGCGCCUUAGCUAAGCCCUAGGCAGGCGCUUCUUACCUAUCAACCAGAUGGCAGCACAAGAGACAUGCCAUAGUCGCAACGGGUACAGAGGAUUAGAGUUCGAUCCUGGAGAGUGGGCCUGAGAGAUUGCUCAUACUUCUAAGGAAGGCAGCAGGCGCGCAACGUUCCCCUUGGGCAAAGCUUGAGGGCGUUAGGGGUCAUAUUAAUUCUUGCCUUUUGGGUAAGAAAUUAAAAUGGGUUUAAAAUAAACACUUUUCUCGAGUAACAAUUAGAGACA
rnacentral:rRNA from 1 species